rnacentral:rRNA from 1 species
CGCCUUGCCAGCCCGCUCAGAACCUUAAAGGAAGUUGACGGGGGCCCGCACAAGCGGUGGAGCAUGUGGUUUAAUUCGAUGAUACGCGAGGAACCUUACCUGGGCUCAAAUGUAUGUUGACGUAUUCUGAAAGGGAUACUUCUUCGGACAAUAUACAAGGUGCUGCAUGGUUGUCGUCAGCUCGUGCCGUGAGGUGUCGGGUUAAGUCCCAUAACGAGCGCAACCCCUAUCAUUAGUUGCCAUCAGGUCAAGCUGGGGACUCUAAUGAAACUGCCUACGCAAGUAGUGAGGAAGGUGGGGAUGACGUCAAAUCAGCACGGCCCUUACGUCCAGGGCUACACACGUGCUACAAUGGUCGGUACAAAGGGUUGCCAAGCCGCGAGGUGGAGCUAAUCCCAUAAAACCGAUCGUAGUCCGGAUCGCAGUCUGCAACUCGACUGCGUGAAGUCGGAAUCGCUAGUAAUCGUGAAUCAGAAUGUCACGGUGAAUACGUUCCCGGGCCUU